rnacentral:rRNA from 1 species
UACGUAGGUGGCAAGCGUUGUCCGGAAUUAUUGGGCGUAAAGCGCGCGCAGGCGGCCUUUUAAGUCUGAUGUGAAAGCCCACGGCUCAACCGUGGAAGGUCAUUGAAAACUGAAAGGCUUGAGUACAGAAGAGGAAAGCGGAAUUCCACGUGUAGCGGUGAAAUGCGUAGAGAUGUGGAGGAACACCAGUGGCGAAGGCGGCGAUCUGGGAAGAUACUGACGCUGAGGUGCGAAAGCGUGGGGAGCAAACAGG